UGAGAAUUAGUUGACAAUUUUUUAUGAUAAUAUUGUUUUCUCAUUAGGCCUCCACCUUUUAAUCUAGUUGUGUAUGAACAUGUUUUAGGGAUGGGUCAUUUCUUGACUGUUCUUCCCAAACUGACCACGAUUUCUUGAUGACAUUGUUACAUAAUGCAUAUAAACAAAACACACGAAUUAAGGUAUUUUAGUCUUUGUAAUUAAAAACUAAAAGUAUGCAUGUGCAUGACUUCUCCGUUAUUCUUGCAUUGUCAUUGUUGUAUUGAUAUAUUGCUGAAAGGUCAGAUAUGUGAUAAAGUAAUUAAGAAGAUCAUAUUAAGAAAUCGUAUUGUCAUGUGGGCUGCCAUGAACAAGGUAUAAU
rnacentral:sRNA from 1 species